UUGGAGGAAUGUAUAGCGAAAGCUAGUUGCCAUUUUAACUAAGCGAAAGCUAAAGUUUGAUGCAGGAUUGACUAUGUCAAAUAAAGUUCUAGGUGGGUUAUGAUGAUGACAUUUCCUAUCUAUGUGUCUUGACCAAAUUACGUGCCAGCAGUCGCGGUAACACGUAAAAGACUAGUGUUAUUCAUCUUUAAUAGGUUUAAAGGGUACCUAGACGGUAAAUCAAGUCCAAGAAGGGUACUAAUUUUACUAGAGUUUAAUAUGAGGGGGCACUAAAGUACUGAUAAGUGUAGAGAUGAAAUUCUGUGAUACAAUAUACGGCACUGGUAAAGGCGAAAGCAUCUCAUUAUGUAAUAACUGACGUUGAGGGACGAAGGCUAGGUGUAGCAAAAAGGAUUAGAUACCCAAGUAGUCUUAGCAGAAAAUUAUGAAUGUCAUAGGAUGGAAAGUUGGAUGGACAAACAACAAAUUUUUUUUCUAUAAAUGAAAGUGUAAGCAUUCCACCUCGAGAGUAAUUUGGCAACAUUGGAACUGAAAUCAUUAGACCGUUUCUGAAACAAGUAGUGAAGUAUGUUGUUUAAUUUGAUGGUCCGCAAAAAACCUUACCACAAUUUGAAUAGAAAAAUUUUUUUCAUACAAGCGCUGCACGGUUGUCUUCAGUUAAUGUCGUGAGAUCUUGGUUAGUUCCAUUAAAUUAACGUAAACCCUUACUCUAUUUUUAUAUAGAGUAGUUCACCGCUAGAUUGGAUGUGAUAACAGGGACUAAGACAAGUCAUCAUGGCCUUAAUAUUGUGGG
rnacentral:rRNA from 1 species